rnacentral:snoRNA from 1 species
UCCCUUUUGCUGUACAUAAACGGAUGAUUGAGGUUACAUGUGUGACAUGUGCCUCCCUCCAUCCUUGUUAUGACAUUGGCACAUUACCCAUCUGAUG